rnacentral:rRNA from 1 species
UACGUAGGGUGCGAGCGUUAAUCGGAAUUACUGGGCGUAAAGCGUGCGCAGGCGGUUUUUUAAGUCUGGCGUGAAAUCCCCGGGCUUAACCUGGGAAUUGCGUUGGAGACUGCAAGGCUGGAGUCUGGCAGAGGGGGGUAGAAUUCCACGUGUAGCAGUGAAAUGCGUAGAGAUGUGGAGGAACACCGAUGGCGAAGGCAGCCCCCUGGGUCAAGACUGACGCUCAUGCACGAAAGCGUGGGGAGCAAACAGG